CCUACGGGCGGCUGCAGUAGGGAAUAUUGCUCAAUGGGGGAAACCCUGAAGCAGCAACGCCGCGUGGAGGAUGAAGGUUUUCGGAUUGUAAACUCCUUUUGUUAGAGAAGAUAAUGACGGUAUCUAACGAAUAAGCACCGGCUAACUCCGUGCCAGCAGCCGCGGUAAUACGGAGGGUGCAAGCGUUACUCGGAAUCACUGGGCGUAAAGGGCGCGUAGGCGGGAUAGCAAGUCAGAUGUGAAAUCCUAUGGCUUAACCAUAGAACUGCAUUUGAAACUGUUAGUCUAGAGUAUGGGAGAGGUAGGUGGAAUGCGUGGUGUAGGGGUAAAAUCCGUAGAGAUCGAGAGGAAUACUCAUUGCGAAGGCGACCUGCUAGAACAUAACUGACGCUGAUGCGCGAAAGCGUGGGGAGCAAACAGGAUUAGAUACCCUAGUAGUC
rnacentral:rRNA from 1 species